AUACGUAGGGGGCGAGCGUUGUCCGGAAUGAUUGGGCGUAAAGGGCGCGUAGGCGGCCCGGUAAGUCUGGAGUGAAAGUCCUGUUUUUAAGAUGGGAAUUGCUUUGGAUACUGCCGCGCUUGAGUGCAGGAGAGGUUAUCGGAAUUCCCGGUGUAGCGGUGAAAUGCGUAGAGAUCGGGAGGAACACCAGUGGCGAAGGCGGGUAACUGGACUGCAACUGACGCUGAGGCGCGAAAGUGUGGGGAGCAAACAGGAUUAGAUACCCUGGUAGUCCACACUGUAAACGAUGAAUGCUAGGUGUAAGAGGUAUCGACCCCUUUUGUGCCGGAGUCAACACAAUAAGCAUUCCGCCUGGGGAGUACGGCCGCAAGGUUGAAACUCAAAUGAAUUGGCGGGG
rnacentral:rRNA from 1 species